AACCACUCCCCACCUGCUUCUUUCCCCCUUCCACCGAGGCAACCAACGCAAACCCUAGACCUCCUCCUCCCUCGCGCUGUCGCCCCAUCUUCUCUCAAUUUUCUUCUUCUCUGUGAACCAACAAAACGAACGAACAGCACACCACCAUGGCGCCGAUGUUCCAGACCUUCCCCCACCAUUCUGAGGGCACCGUUAGAAGCGCCUCGUCGUCCUCUUCUUCCGUGUGCAAGUAAUCGAGCCGGGGCUCGCUCAAUCAACGCCAGUUUCGUCGAUUCUCUUCUCCGGCCGUCACCCUCCGGCGAGGAUUCCGGCCGCCUCCGUCAUCCCCCGAACUUUCUGCGGCUUUCUUCACGUUCCUGGUGCUCGCCGUCGGCAUCGCUCCGGUGCCUCCCCGUCUUCAAUUCCGCCAGAUCCUGCAUCCCCACGAAGUUACGCAUCGAACGCGCCAUCUCCCUCGUCCUGAUUCGCGCGGAAGUGCCAGAUCCCUCCUCGACUGAGGCAUCCUCCAUGGCUGAACGUGUGCGAUCUCGACUGCAUGUUUUCCUAUGUGUUCAAGUAGUGCGUCCCCGUCUUAUACAUCAGUAACAUCUACCAGCGCAGUGAUCCACACGCUGAUGGGCCUGGCCCCAGAUCCUCCUGGCACAGCCCAACGCCUAGGUCGAGCCAACCUUCCCCUGUCGGCCAGCAUUUGCUUCUUCCCGGAUAGGAUCGCGAACUGGUGCGGUGAGAUACGACAAGUUCUCCGGAUGUCCCUCGGCAAGCUUUAACAGGCAAGCAUUUUCCCCUAUACUUCUGCCCCUGCAGAAGUCGCUCACCUAUUUUAUUUUGCCUUCUCCCUCAUGCUAUCCUUAAGUUGCGUUCUUGUCACGUGUCCCUUCCACUUGUUACCUCAAGCAGACCAUAUUGCCACCACCAACCACCAACUACCUACAGAUGUUGUUUGGUUAUCGGGUCUGCCUUGCGAGUCGUAGUGCAUGCUAGUGCUGUUUAUAUCUCGUUACCGUUACCGCUAUCUUAUCGGGUUAUCUGUUGGGAAUCAUGACACAUGGUUUAUGGACAUAUCUGUUGAGGGUAUCAUGGUUACUUGUUAAUAAUUGUUAGCGGAGGCAUCGGUGGGUCAGCUGAUCAUUUUAUGAUGGCUCACUUGUGUUUCAUAAAUAUCUUAGGACCCCGAGUUCUUGUUAUCUGUUCUGAGACUGAGCGCUCUAACCACACGUGGGUAUGUUUCUGGGUCUCCCCUCGGCCACUGCCGGAAUCUACAGCUCUGUCCAGUGGCCACAACUAGUUUGCCAUAUUUUUACCAUUUGUUGUUGCGUGCAUGCCUGCCUGCUACUUAUUUACUUUGGGAAGCCCCUGGGUGCCUUGUAUCCCUUGUUUCUGGUAUGCACGUAUAGGUCGUGGAGCCUCUGCGAAGUGGUUUAUCGCCCCAGUGUGUGUUUAAACCACCUAGCACGUUGACACACAUAGCUAAGUCCGCUUCGGAGAUACGGCCGGACUUCGAUACGGGUUCAACUUGGUUAGGUGGCUUCCUGGACAUUGUUGUCGUGAAGGUGAGUGCGAGUCGUGAUAUUCACCUGUCGCAAGUGGGUUGAUCGUGCGUGUGGACACAUUUGGGCACCCCUGCAGGGUUAAUUCUUAUCGAUAAGCCGCGUCCGCGGUUAUGGACGACUUGGAGCUGUAUGACUCGGCCAUAGACAACUUACACCUGCUGUUUCAAUCAUAAUAACUUGUGUAGUAAGCUAGAACAACUCUAAUAAUAAAUGGCUAAAACUUCACAACCGUGUGAGUGCCUUUGCAAGUAUUUCUUGGCGAAGGGGGAACACAUCGGCUGUGUUAUGUUUGCAGAGUAUAGAACUGUUAGUUACGCUCUCUCACCUUCUCUUAUAGACGACUGUUGUAGAGUGUCUCUAUAGGUUUUUAGUGCUUGCGCGCUGCCGCUUAACCCCACCAUAUUGCCUAUGACGUUUCUCUUGCGUCCUCUAAGUCCCCUGCGUGCCUCAAGUACAAAGGACGACUGGUUGACGAAUGCUUAUACGUCUUGAAGUCUUGUUAAGUACGAACCCGUACUUAUUGCUGCUUCUACGGGACAUAAGCGGGCAGGUAUGAAGAUAUGUUCGAUGAAGACGACGUUAGCAAGGUUACCCUUCCGGCUUGGCCUGGGCAGGGUUAUGGACGCCAUCGUUUAUCUUCAGGACUCUUAGUCCAAGUUGUAUCUUGUCCGUACUCGGAUGUAUUCGAUCUUCUGUAUGAUUUGGAUCUUUGUAUGUAUAUAUUUGUAUCUUGACUCGUUGGAGUCGUUGUUGUAAUAUAUCUGUUUCUUCUGGGCUC